rnacentral:rRNA from 1 species
CCUACGGGUGGCAGCAGUGAGGAAUAUUGGUCAAUGGCCGUGAGCCUGAACCAGCCAAGUAGCGUGCGGGAAGACUGCCCUACGGGUUGUAAACCUCUUUUAUACGGGGAUAAAGUCCUCCACGUGUGGAUGUUUGCAUGUACCUCAUGAAUAAGGACCGGCUAAUUCCGUGCCAGCAGCCGCUGUAAUACGGCGGAUCCAAGCGUUAUCCGGAUUUAUUUGGGUUAAAGGGGGCGUAGGCGGGGUGUUAAGUUCGUGGGUAAAUGCUCGAGCUUAACCCGGUAACUGCCUUUAAUACUGGUGAUCUAGAGAGGAGAUGAGGUAGGCGGAAUGCAUGGUGUAGCGGUGAAAUGCAUAGAGAUCACGAAGAACUCCGAUUGCGAAGGCAGCUUACCAAGG